AUGGGUGAUGGGAUCAUCAUGGCACCAUCACCAUCUAACCAGGAGUAUAUCAGAGAUGUUGCAGAAAUUGAUUUACAGGAGUACAAGGACAUUGAGAACAUCGCGUUCUACCAGGUUGCAGCAAACUCUGGAUCGGGCUUGUCUAUGGAAAGUGAGAGAUCACUAAGGAUCCAUAUUUGUACAGACCAGAAUGGUGUCAACUUUCUGCUUGAGUUUCUGCAUCAUCUUGUGGAUUCGAAAGAGAGCUACAGAGGCGUGACUAAUCUCCUUUUUCAUGGUAUUGAAUGGCAGCCUGAAGCAAUCCAACUUCUCUGUUCAUACUUAGGCCCAGGCUCGAAUGUGAAGCAUGUGGAGUUCCAAAAAAAUGUGUUUAGCACAAAAUCAGCUGUUGCUUUAGUCCCACUCUCGGAAAUGCUCCAAAGGAACAACACCUUGAAAGCAGUUGUUUUCAAUGAUUGUAGAAUUGGAGCUGCUGGAGCGACACUGCUUGCGUCAGCUUUGGCAAAGAACAGAAGUGUGGAAGAGUUUCAAGUAUGGGAAGACUCCAUGGGCUCCAAGGGAGCAGAAGAACUCUCCAAGAUGAUUGAGGUGAACUAUAUGUUGAAGCUGCUGAUUAUACUUGACAACAACUCCAUUCCAGCGGCUCCGCUUAUCUCUGCUGUGCUGGCACGCAACCGCAGAGUGGAGGUGCAUAUAUGGGGACGCGGUCGUGAUACAAGAGGUGGCAUGAACAACUGUAAAAUUGUUGAGUUCCUGCCAGAAACUGGAAACAUGAGGAUUUACAGCAAUAUCAAUUCUACAGGCCUGCAACGGGUUGCUUGUGCUUUGGCGUGGAACACCACGGUGACAACAUUGGACAUGACAGGUGUCCCUCUGAAGUCCAGAUGGACCAAAGAACUUAGAGAGGUCCUCGACCGGAAUAGGAGCCUAAAAGUUGUCAAACUUACCAAGUGUUGCCUCAGGGACAAAGCAGUGGUGUAUAUAGCUGCAGGACUGUUCAAGAACAAGUAUUUAGAGAGCUUGACUUUGGAUGGGAAUCGCUUUGGUGGAGUUGGAUUGGAGCAUUUGUUAUGCCCUCUUAGCACAUUCUCACCACUUCAGACACAAGCCAAUUCCACUUUGAAGGUUUUGAGUUUUGGGGGAGAGAGAACAAAUAUAGGUAGAUAUGGUGUGGCUGCAAUCUUGCAGAUGUUGGAGACAAACCAGAGCCUUAUUCAGCUGGCAAUAUGUGAUGAUGCAAGCCUGAGAUCAAGUGAUGUUGUCAAUAUCUUUACAACCUUACAAAGGAAUGCCACUCUUCGAAUUUUGUCAUUCAGAGGGUGCAAGGGAGUUGAGGGGGAAGCAGUCUUACAGACCAUUAUGAAUACUUUGCAGGUCAAUCCAUGGAUUGAAGAAAUUGAUCUUCAUGAAACACCUUUGCAUGUUGCAGGCAAGACAGGCCAAAUUUAUGAGAAACUUGGCCAGAACGGGAGUUUGGUUCUGCCAAAUGAUUUGCUUGAUUUGCCACUAAGUGCUCCUACAUGCUGCCGAGUUGUUCUGUGUGGCCAAGAAUUAGCAGGUAAAAGCACGCUAUGUAGCUCCAUGAAUCAGUGCAUGAAUUCAAUGAAUUUGCCUCGCAUGGAUGCAAGAAAAACUCUGAAGACUCCAGUUGAGCAGAUGCCAUUCACCGAUGAGAAUAAGAUGAACUCAAUCUUUGAUGGCAACACAAAGUUGACAAUGUGUAAUCUCGGUGGAAAUGAAGGAAGUUUUGCGUUGCAUGAUUUCAUGUUCGUGGUGCUUGGUGGUCCAAGCUUUUUCAUGAUUGUGUCUAGUUUGGUUGGAAAGCCUGCUACUAAAUAUCCAAAAGGCAUAGACGAGAUUGAAUGGGAACUCAUAUAUUGGCUGAGGUUCUUGAUUUCAAAUUAUAGGCGGAGAGUAUCACACUCGUUUCGACCCUGUGUAACUAUAGUUCUCACCCAUUAUGACAAGGUAUCUCAUUUACCAGAAGGGCUACAGCCAAUUGCUGCCGUUGUACAAAGGCUCAGAGAAGACUUCCAAUCACAUGCAGAAAUUUACCCCACUGUUUUCGCUGUUGACUCAAGAUCGUUGGUUUCAGUAAGCAAACUCACUCACCACUUGCGAAAGACAACAAAGACAAUAACCCAACAAGUUCCUCAAGUUUAUGAAGUAUGUAAUGAUUUGAUCAAGAUUUUGCAUGACUGGAGGUUGAAGAAUAAGAGAGCCGUGAUCAGGUGGGCUGAGUUCUGCGAGAUAUGCCAGCUCAACAUUCCAGUGCUAAGAUUGAGAUCGAGGCGUGAUAAUGUGGAGAAAGUCGACACAAGGAGACGUGCUGUUGCCAGAUCACUGCAUACCUUGGGUGAAAUAAUAUUUUUUGAGGAACUUGGACUUCUGGUGAUGAAUUGUGAAUGGUUCUGCCGAGAUGUCCUCAGCCAACUAGCUACAUUGAAGUCAAUCAAGAUAGAGAGUAGUGGUGGUUUUGUCCACAAAGAGGAGCUGGAGAAGAUGCUGCAAGAGAAGCUGCGCAACCAAAUUCCAAGGUCAAACUGGAGAACUGGUGCAUCCUUACAGGCCAGUGACAUCAUAAAUAUAUUGCUGGAACUCGAAUUAUGCUAUGAACAGGACCCUGGGAACCCACAUACAUUACUCUUACUACCAGCCAUUCUUGAGGAAAACAAAGGAGGGGCUGAGAAAUGGCAGUUAACUAUGCCGGAAUGCAGAUUUGUUGGAAGGCGUCUCGAAUGUGAAGAUAUACACAUGCUCCUGACAAGUGACUUCUUUCCAAGACUGCAGGUUCGUCUGCAUAACAAAAUCAUGUGUCUUGGGCAGCAGGAAGCAGUUUAUAACCUGGAGAAAAACCUUAUUUAUACAGUGAUUAAUGGUGUCCAUGUAAAGGUGGAGCUGGGAAUGAAGUUUGGCUCAUCCAUAGAUGUGCUUGCAUGCUCUGAUAGAAAUAUUACGGACAUGGUGAGGCUACUCCACAAGUUUGUAAUCCCAGCGAUACUGAACUUGUCUCCCAAUAUGACGUUCAAGGAAAGCAUUCUCAGGCCUGACUGUGUGAAAUAUCUCAUACCGCGAAGGUUCCGUGCAACUCAGCAGCUCCCUCUGAAAAAAAUUAAGCAAAUUCUACUGUCACUGCCGGCAGAAAGUAUAUAUGAUUAUCAGCAUACCUGGAGUGCAGUUGAAAGCAAUAAAAGGCUCAUCUUAAGAUCAGGAUCAGACCAUGCCAGAGAUCUGCUAUCAGAUGAUGACUUCCAUGAAGUUUUGCACCGUAGGUACUAUGAUUUACAGUUUCUCGCGACUGAACUCGCCGUCACCCCAGACAAUCUGCAGCAGCCUGAAACCAUCCCAGAAGCAGACGUGGUCGAUCCCUCCAUCCUGGGCAUCGCGAGAGGUGUCGAGAUGGUUCUCCAAAGACUGAAGAUAAUAGAGCAAGGAAUAAGGGACCUGAAGGAAGAGAUUGCUAGCCUGAGGUACUACGAGUAUCACCUUGUGACCGAGCUCCACAGGAAGAUGGACUACGUGAUGAACUACAGCAUUCAACUGGAAGACCGAAAAGUGCCCCAGAUGUUCUACCUUGUCAGCCUAGACAACCGCUCCAAGAAGCUGGUCACAAGAAUCCUGCCUGGCAUGCGAUCCCUGCGGGUGCACAUGCUGUGCGAGUUCCGAAGAGAGAUGCAUGUGGUGGAGGAUCAGAUCGGGUGCGAUCUGAUCCAGGUGGACAACCAAGCGGUGCAGUCCCUGCUGCCCUACAUGAGCAAGUUCAUGAAGCUCUUGACAUUCGCCCUGAAGAUCGGCGCACAUUUCAUCGUCGGGAUGGGGGAGAUGAUCCCUGACCUGAGCAGGGAGGUGGUGCACCUGCUCGACUCCUCAGCCAUGUACGGCGCCGCGUCGGUGGGGGCUCUAGGCGCGGCAGCAAUGUACGGGAGGGCGAGGAACAGCGGCGCCAAUGACAUGGGGGAGGACAUGAAAGCGGCCAGGCAGUGGCUCGUGGAUUUCCUGAGAGGACAAGGAGUUCUAACAGGGAUGGACAUUGCGCAGAGGUUUGGCCUGUGGCGCGUGAGGUACAGAGACGACGGCCACAUUGGGUGGGUCUGCAGGAAGCACAUCGCCGCGAGAGGAGACGAGGUCUUCGAGCUGCCGCUCUGA
rnacentral:rRNA from 1 species